rnacentral:misc_RNA from 1 species
AGUCAAUGUUAAAACGCAAGUGGUUAUUGGGGAUCCCAAGGAGAAGAUUUGUGAAGCUGUUGAGAAUCUGCACGCUGAUUUACUUGUGACGGGGUGUCGUGCUUUUGGCCCUGUUAAAAGGUAGUACGUUUACUCUGAAAAAUGUUGUUCAUUCCAAGUACUUGGGGGCUAGAAUAACAUUCACUUACUUAUGUUCGAAAAUAAAGAAGUGGAAGUGCUUUGAUGGUUCUGUUUUUUAAAGAUUGAGGUUAUUUUUAGAUAGAUAGUAUGUCUUGUUCUAUGUCAGCUUCGAAGAUAACCAUGAUUAGUAUCCUUAUUCAAUGAGCUUCCUUGUUGAUGUGAAUGGAUAUGAAGAUAAGUGAUUUUUCUUAACACAUGAAAACAGGGACAUGAAAGUUUUGGUGUUGCUUUUGUUGCUACUUCAGAUAAAAGCAUUAUCUUGGAUGUUUUGACAAAAACCGUUGGUUGUUGUUUUGCAUUUUUUAUCUUCGUCCCAAAAGCUGCUAUUGGCAAUGCAUCCAAGAGGGUGCUCCUGGCAAGAGUAGCUGCAAUAGCAGGGUAAAACAAAUCCCAAAAGCUGAGAAGUUGAGUUGGAAUGGUAUCGAUAUCUGAAUGUUAUCAAUAAUUGAGAUGGUUCUCUUGUUUUUUUAUUGUGUGGGUGUUUCUCUCAUUCUGUUUUAGGAUUCAUAAUAUUCUAUUUAACUUUGUGAUAUUGUAUGAAUGAAAGAGUUUUUGCAUCAUUCCAUUUGCAGUCUCAGCAAUACACAUAUUAGUUGGAAUUCUACCAGUAUAAAUAUAGAACUUGUAAGGAGCAUCUAGGUCUGGUUUGUUUUAUCUAUGAUGUAAAUGUCAGAAGUGUCUAAUAUGUGGAAUCGCUCCAAGGAUGACAAGUCUCAAAAGUGCUUUGAUUUGGAAACUGUAUUCCUUAAUGGAAGAAGGCUAUGGCCUGCUUGAAAAAGCAGUUAAUACGAGGGUAUAGUUGAUCUAUGGAGUCCUGUUAAUAGUAAAGCAUGAAACUUACACACAAGUGAAUUAUAUGCACAGGUAAUUUUACUGUAUGUGGCUGCAUUUUAGUUAUUUCAAGUAGCAAUUUUCUUAAUAGUACUUCUGCAGAAAAAAGGUGGUUGGUGUCAGCUGAUUGCCUUGUUAUUAGGGAAUUGCUAUGCUUUCUGCAAUGAUUGUAGGAUUAAUGGCAGCAUUGCUAAAAUGUUUGAUGUUGUGUUACAUUCCACUUGUGUUUUGGCUCACCAAUUGUCAAUUUUCUGAAUUUGAUUUCAUAGUAGAUGAUUUACAGCUGCUUGGCAUUAUAUAUACUAACCUUGAGAAAUAUAACAUUUUUUAACAGGAUGUUUUUGGGAAGUGUAAGCAACUAUUGCACCAACCAUGUAGAAUGUCCCGUCAUUAUUGUCAAGGGCAAGGAUGCAUCAUCAUAAACCAAAGAUGUAUGCUUAUGAAUACUCAAUUUGUGUACUUGCAGCAAUUCAUGUCUAUAACUUUUCAAUAUAUGAAUUAUUAUUUUCUGCGUAGUAAUAGUUUUAACAAUGCUUUGAUGUAUAUUUAUUCUAUCUUAUGAUGUAUUUAUCCAAUAUUUGAUGACUCUUCUGGAAAUGUCCUCCAAGAUGCAUUGUUUGCGUGUUGCUCUGUGUUGUUUAACAUGCAAGCUCCAUUCCCUUCUCUGCCCGCCGUUCCCUUCUCUGCCCGCCGAACCUUCUUUCUUUCUCUUUCUCCUUCGGCUUACUGUAAACCUCUUUAGAACAUAAAGCAUCCUAUCAUCAAAUAACAAACUUCACUACCCAAGGAUUCAAAAUCAAUCGACCUUGGUUUUCAUAUCCUUGACUGUGGUCUCCACUUGGACUUGCAAUCUAGCAGCAUCUUGCGGUUUACAUCAAGGCAAAGCUUGGUGAUGACCCCCUGGUAAUGGUUGAUCUACAUUGAUAGUGUUGUUCACCUUAACUCCCAAUUCAAAUCAUCUACUUGCAACUGUAGAGUUGGACAACUCACCACUCGCACCUUGUCAUUCUUGUGAACUGGCAUGGAAAGAGAGAGAAAGCAUUUGGAGGGGGGCAAAAAAGUGAAAACUACUUAUUUCGUACUUAACUUAGUGACAAAUUUUUUUCCCCAAUUUUUACUGGCCAGCUAAAAUUGCCAAAAUUAAAAAGUUUGUCAAAAUUGAAAAAAUGCAUGAAUAUUUUGAUAUUUUUUUUGGUCAUAGAACAUUAAAAAAAAGAAAGAACUCUUUUCAUUUCUAAUUACAGACUUCAUUGAAUGGUUUGUAACUUCUAUUUGCUGUUAGAUUUAAUCUUAGGUUUGCCUAAAUUUAUCUUUUGACUAAUUCUGAUCAAAUCAUGCUGUAGUUACGGAGUGCCUUUGUGAUGCUUGACAAAUGCUGAUCUCUCCUCUUGUCAUAUAUGGAAAUGUUUCAGAAGCAAUUUGGGUUAACUUGUAAUCAGCACUGCGUUGUCAUCCUUUUUUUUAAUCUUUUUCUAGUGUGUUUUUUUUAGGAGGAAAACCUUGGGUGUGAAAAUCAACCUCGUUUGUAUUGUAUAUCAAUUAGUUGAUGUACAAUUGUACCUCGUUUGUAUUUUAUAUCAAUUUGUUGAUGUACAAUUGUAUUUCUUUGUGUAUUCAUUUAUUUACUCUGGUGGAUUAUUGUAUUAAGUUGUCUUUGGAAAUGAUUACUUUCUUCAACCAUUGAUGGGUGCUUCAGGUGUGACAAAUGUAAAUUGUUGCAAAGC